rnacentral:tRNA from 1 species
GCCCCGAUAGCUCAGCUAGCUAGAGCGGUUGACUCGUAAUCAACAGGUCAGGAGUGCAAAUCUCCUUCGGGGCU